CCUACGAGUGGCAGCAGUGGGGAAUAUUGGGCAAUGGGCGCAAGCCUGACCCAGCAAAGCCGCGUGAAGGAAGAAGGCUUUCGGGUUGUAAACUUCUUUUACGAGGGAAGCGCAGAAGGCGGUACCUCUUGAAUUAGCGACGGCUAACUACGUGCCAGCAGCCGCGGUAAUCCGUCGGUGGCAAGCGUUGUCCGGAUUUACUGGGUGUAAAGGGCGUGCAGCCGGGAAGACAAGUCAGAGGUGAAAUCCCGCGGCUCAACCGCGGAACUGCAUGUGAAACUGUUUUUCUUGAGUACCGGAGAGGUCAGCGGAAUUCCUUGUGGAGCGGUGAAAUGCAUAGAUAUAAGGAAGAACACCAGUGGCGAAGGCAGAUGACUGGACGGCAACUGACGGUGAGGCGCGAAAGCGUGGGUAGCAAACAGGAUUAGAUACCCUGGUAGUC
rnacentral:rRNA from 1 species